rnacentral:rRNA from 2 species
UUAAAUUGAAGAGUUUGAUCAUGGCUCAGAUUGAACGCUGGCGGCAGGCCUAACACAUGCAAGUCGAACGGUAACAGGAAACAGCUUGCUGUUUCGCUGACGAGUGGCGGACGGGUGAGUAAUGUCUGGGAAACUGCCUGAUGGAGGGGGAUAACUACUGGAAACGGUAGCU